GGGGAAUAUUGGACAAUGGGGGCAACCCUGAUCCAGCGACGCCGCGUGUGUGAAGAAGGCCUGCGGGUUGUAAAGCACUUUUAGUGGGGAGGAAGGUCUGCGACCUAACACGUCGUGGAAUUGACUUAACCCACAGAAAAAGCACCGGCUAACUCUGUGCCAGCAGCCGCGGUAAUACAGAGGGUGCAAGCGUUAAUCGGAAUUACUGGGCGUAAAGCGUGCGUAGGCGGUUUCGUAAGUCGGAUGUGAAAGCCCCGGGCUCAACCUGGGAAUUGCAUUCGAGACUGCGAAGCUGGAGUGCGGAAGAGGGAAGUGGAAUUUCCGGUGUAGCGGUGAAAUGCGUAGAUAUCGGAAGGAACAUCAGUGGCGAAAGCGACUUCCUGGUCCAGCACUGACGCUCAGGCACGAAAGCGUGGGGAGCAAAC
rnacentral:rRNA from 1 species